AUUGAACGCUGGCGGCAUGCCUUACACAUGCAAGUCGAACGGCAGCACGGGUGCUUGCACCUGGUGGCGAGUGGCGAACGGGUGAGUAAUACAUCGGAACGUACCUUAUCGUGGGGGAUAACGCAGCGAAAGCUGUGCUAAUACCGCAUACGCCCUGAGGGGGCAAGCGGGGGAUCGCAAGACCUCGCGCGAUUAGAGCGGCCGAUGCCUGAUUAGCUUGUUGGUGGGGUAAAAGCCCACCAAGGCGACGAUCAGUAGCUGGUCUGAGAGGACGAUCAGCCACACUGGGACUGAGACACGGCCCAGACUCCUACGGGAGGCAGCAGUGGGGAAUUUUGGACAAGGGGGGCAACCCUGAUCCAGCAAUGCCGCGUGAGUGAAGAAGGCCUUCGGGUUGUAAAGCUCUUUUGUCAGGGAAGAAACACCGGCUCUAACACAGUCUGGGAAUGACGGUACCUGAAGAAUAAGCACCGGCUAACUACGUGCCAGCCGCCGCCGUAA
rnacentral:rRNA from 1 species